UACGUAGGGGGCUAGCGUUGUCCGGAUUUAUUGGGCGUAAAGAGCUCGUAGGCGGUCUGUCGCGUCUGCUGUGAAAACUCGGGGCUUAACCCCGGGCCUGCAGUGGGUACGGGUAGACUAGAGUGCGGUAGGGGAGACUGGAAUUCCCGGUGUAGUGGUGAAAUGCGUAGAUAUCGGGAGGAACACCAGUGGCGAAGGCGGCUUCCUGGCCUGUUCUUGACGCUGAGGCGCGAAAGCUAGGGUAGCAAACGGG
rnacentral:rRNA from 1 species